CCUACGGGUGGCAGCAGUGGGGAAUAUUGGGCAAUGGGCGCAAGCCUGACCCAGCAACGCCGCGUGAAGGAAGAAGGCUUUCGGGUUGUAAACUUCUUUUGUCAGGGACGAAGCAAGUGACGGUACCUGACGAAUAAGCCACGGCGAACUACGUGCCAGCAGCCGCGGUAAUACGUGGGUGGCAAGCGUUAUCCGGAUUUAUUGGGUGUAAAGGGCGUGUAGGGGGGAAUGGAAGUCAGAUGUGAAAACUAUGGGCUCAACCCAUAGCCUGCAUUUGAAACUGUAUUUCUUGAGUGGUGGAGAGGUAGUCGGAAUUCGUGGUGUAGCGGUGAAAUGCGUAGAUAUAAGGAGGAACACCAGUGGCGAAGGCGGAUUGCUGGACAGUAACUGACGCUGAGGCGCGAAAGCGUGGGGAGCAAACAGGAUUAGAUACCCGAGUAGUC
rnacentral:rRNA from 1 species